rnacentral:rRNA from 1 species
UGGUGACUAUAGCAUUGGGGUUACACCUGUUCCCAUCCCGAACACAGUAGUUAAGCCCUUUAGCGCUGAUGAUACUUGGUGGGAAGCUGCCUGGGAAAGUAGGACGUCGCCA